rnacentral:rRNA from 1 species
UACAGAGGGUGCAAACGUUGUUCGGAUUUACUGGGCGUAAAGGGCGCGUAGGCGGCCAGCACAAGUCAGUUGUGAAAUCUCCGAGCUUAACUCGGAACGGUCAACUGAUACUGUGCGGCUAGAGUGCGGAAGGGGCAACUGGAAUUCUUGGUGUAGCGGUGAAAUGCGUAGAUAUCAAGAGGAACACCUGCGGCGAAGGCGGGUUGCUGGGCCGACACUGACGCUGAUGCGCGAAAGCCAGGGGAGCGAACGGG